AUUCAACGUCAGCCAUCAUGCCUUCCAGAAUAGGAAUUCCACCAAGAAGAGGGGAGACUUCACUGACAAUGCUGGAAGCUUUUGCCGAUUCUUGCAGAAACUUAGCCGUGGGACUUGGAUGCCUCAAAAGGUCCAAGAAGAGGAAUUAUGUGGACUGAAGUGGAUGGCGGAGAGACCGGGC